UACAGCUGUGUUCCAGAAAUGACCAUGACCAUGACCACCAUACCCCAUCCUCUCUCUCUUUCUCUCUUUGCGCGUUACUUUUACUUUCUAUUAAAACCAAAUCAUUGUCUUCAUCAUUGCAUUUCCUCAUAUCCCGCAAAACCCAUUUUUCAUUUCAUUCCUUGAAGGAAGAUCAAGCCAAACACCACAAAGCCUCAGAUCAACAAAGAUCGGGAAGCUCUCAUCUUUUGAGGGGAAUGCUGUCUGGUUCAAGGAGAUGCAUGAGAUCACAUAUCACACUACUUUUCACUUCAUACACCAAACUAUUCUUCACAAAACUUCAUCAAAUUCACAUGUAAUAAUCAUCCUCGGACCAGGCUUCAUUCCUCUCAAUUACAGCUUCCAUCAUCUAAACCAUUCAAAUCAUAUAUGUAAAAUAUUCUCCAGUAGUGGGAUGCAGGUGCGCAACACACGGACAAAGGUAAAGAAGAAAAGUUAUUAUAUAUAGGUGGAACAGAAAGUGAUGACUGGAAAUGUAGGUUUUAUGUGUAUUGCCUGUUAAGUUGUUGGCAGAAUCAUAUCCUGAUUUCACUUUUUUCCCACUAAAAUGACCAAACCCUUAUUAAUAAUUAAACUCAGUCUAGCUUUGGUAGUGCAGGAGGAUUUGGUUUCGGGGUGAUUAAAACAAGGUUGCCGGCAUUUUGUUUUUGUUCUA